rnacentral:rRNA from 1 species
AGCAGUCAAAUCACGCUGAAAACACCGGUUCUCGUUCGAUCACCGAAGUUAAGCAUCGUAGAGCCAGGUCAGUACUUAGAUGGGGGACCGCUUGGGAACACCUGGUACUGUAAG